GGCUGGUUUCCAUGGUGGCGCGGUUAGGAACCAUCAGCUGCCUCAUCUCAUGGCCAGGGUUGGUGUCCAUGUGGCAGACUAGCUAGGAACUCAAGGCCUGAACCUGGGGCCAGACCCUCUGCUCUCCCGGCCAUGGUCAAUGAUCCACCAGUACCUGCCUUACUGUGGGCUCAGGAAGUGGGCCAAGUCUUAGCAUGGCGUGCCCAGAGACUGCUACUGCAGUUUGGGGACCGACUGUGAUUCCUCCAGCACCUCACUCUGCUCCUUCCCUGUUGCAAAUGUCUCACUGGCUAAGGCUGGACGCGAUCGGGUGCUGAUGUAUGGACAGCCAUGUCGCAUUACCUUAGAGCUGGAGCUGCCAGAGUCCCCUGUGAAUCAAGAUUUGGGCAUGUUCUUGGUCACCGUUUCAUGCUACACCCAAGGCGGCCGAAUCAUCUCUACUUCUUCACGCUCGGUGAUGCUGCAUUACCGCUCAGACCUGCUCCAGAUGCUUGACACGCUGGUUUUCUCUAGCCUCUUGCUGUUUGGCUUUGCAGAGCAGAAGCAGCUUCUGGAGGUGGAGCUCUAUGCGGACUAUAGAGAGAACUCAUAUGUGCCGACCACCGGAGCGAUUAUCGAGAUCCACAGCAAGCGCAUCCAGAUGUACGGAGCCCACCUCCGCAUCCACGCUCACUUCACAGGGCUCAGAUACCUGCUGUACAACUUCCCAAUGACCUGCGCCUUCAUAGGUGUUGCCAGCAACUUCACCUUCCUCAGCGUCAUCGUGGUCUUCAACUACAUGCAGUGGGUGUGGGGAGGCAUCUGGCCCCAACAGCGCUUCUCUUUGCAGGUUAACAUCCGGAAAAGGGACAAUUCCCGAAAGGAAGGCCAGCGAAGGAUCUCUACCCAUCAGUCAGACACAGGGCCUGAAAGCCAGGAGGAAUCAACCCAGCUAUCAGAUAUAACAGAGGACGGUGAGAGCCCUGAAGAUCCCUCAGGGACAGAGGGUCAGCUGUCUGAGGAAGAGAAACCAGAUCAGCAGCCCCUGAGUGGGGAGGAGGAGCUGGAGCCUGAGGCCAGUGAUGGUUCAGGCUCCUGGGAAGAUGCAGCGCUGCUAACGGAGGCCAACCUGCCUACUCCUGCCUCUGGCUCUGCCUCUGCCCCUGCCCUUGCCCCAGAGACCCUGGGCAGCUCCGAACCCUGUGUGGGUACUGUCCGACAGCGCUCCACCUGCUCUAGUUCCUAAAGAAAAGGGCAGAUUCUUCACAUUCCAGCACUUUCCCACCUGACCCUUCGCCCCUUGAUUUUCCCCUCAAUAAACUAUUUUCGUGCCAGCU